AGGAGCCGGAUGAGAAGAAACUUUCAUGUCUGGUUCUGGAUUAGAGAUGGGAUCAAAAUACUAUUAACCCAUCGACUAUAAC
rnacentral:ncRNA from 1 species